UACGUAGGGUGCGAGCGUUAAUCGGAAUUACUGGGCGUAAAGCGUGCGCAGGCGGUUUUAUAAGCCAGAUGUGAAAGCCCCGGGCUCAACCUGGGAACGGCAUUUGGGACUGUAAAGCUGGAGUAUGGCAGAGGAGACUAGAAUUCCUGGUGUAGCAGUGAAAUGCGUAGAUAUCAGGAGGAAUACCGAUGGCGAAGGCAGGUCUCUGGGCCAAUACUGACGCUCAUGCACGAAAGCGUGGGGAGCAAACAGG
rnacentral:rRNA from 1 species